GACGAACGCUGGCGGCGUGCUUAACACAUGCAAGUCGAACGGAAAGGCCCUGCUUUUGUGGGGUGCUCGAGUGGCGAACGGGUGAGUAACACGUGAGUAACCUGCCCUUGACUUUGGGAUAACUUCAGGAAACUGGGGCUAAUACCGGAUAGGAGCUCCUGCUGCAUGGUGGGGGUUGGAACGUUUCGGCGGUUGGGGAUGGACUCGCGGCUUAUCAGCUUGUUGGUGGGGUAGUGGCUUACCAAGGCUUUGACGGGUAGCCGGCCUGAGAGGGUGACCGGCCACAUUGGGACUGAGAGACGGCCCAGACGCCUACGGGAGGCAGCAGUGGGGAAUAUUGCACAAUGGGCGGAAGCCUGAUGCAGCAACGCCGCGUGCGGGAUGACGGCCUUCGGGUUGUAAACCGCUUUCGCCUGUGACGAAGCGUGAGUGACGGUAAUGGGUAAAGAAGCACCGGCUAACUACGUG
rnacentral:rRNA from 1 species